CAUUACCGAAACACCAGUUUCCAUAUGAUUGCCAAAGUUAAGCAAUGUCAAGCCUGGUCAGUACCUAGAUGGGUAACUGCUUGGGAAUGCCAGGUGCUGUAA